rnacentral:rRNA from 1 species
AUGCAGUCGAGGGGCAGCAUGAUUGAAGCUUGCUUCAAUUGAUGGCGACCGGCGCACGGGUGAGUAACGCGUAUCCAACCUUCCGCUUACUCGGGGAUAGCCUUUCGAAAGAAAGAUUAAUACCCGAUGGUAUGAUGAGAUUGCAUGAUAGCAUCAUUAAAGAUUUAUUGGUAAGCGAUGGGGAUGCGUUCCAUUAGGUAGUAGGCGGGGUAACGGCCCACCUAGCCGACGAUGGAUAGGGGUUCUGAGAGGAAGGUCCCCCACAUUGGAACUGAGACACGGUCCAAACUCCUACGGGAGGCAGCAGUGAGGAAUAUUGGUCAAUGGACGAGAGUCUGAACCAGCCAAGUAGCGUGAAGGAUGAAGGUCCUACGGAUUGUAAACUUCUUUUAUAAGGGAAUAAAACCUCCCACGUGUGGGAGCUUGUAUGUACCUUAUGAAUAAGCAUCGGCUAACUCCGUGCCAGCAGCCGCGGUAAUACGGAGGAUGCGAGCGUUAUCCGGAUUUAUUGGGUUUAAAGGGAGCGCAGACGGGUCGUUAAGUCAGCUGUGAAAGUUUGGGGCUCAACCUUAAAAUUGCAGUUGAUACUGGCGUCCUUGAGUGCGGUUGAGGUGUGCGGAAUUCGUGGUGUAGCGGUGAAAUGCUUAGAUAUCACGAAGAACUCCGAUUGCGAAGGCAGCACACUAAGCCGUAACUGACGUUCAUGCUCGAAAGUGUGGGUAUCAAACAGGAUUAGAUACCCUGGUAGUCCACACGGUAAACGAUGGAUACUCGCUGUUGGCGAUAUACGGUCAGCGGCUUAGCGAAAGCGUUAAGUAUCCCACC